AAAAGGCGCAUCACCCAAGCUGAGACUGCUAGACUACGCCGUUUGGUAGUACGAGCUAUAGUUAUUAUAAUGGUCUGAAAUCAGACUUCCCUUUAUGUAAUAAAGUUAGAAUCGGUAGUAAUGUUGUAAGACGAUCGACCCUGGACUUGUGGGGCAAGAGUUAGAUUAUGUAAUAUUAAUAUGUAAUGCAAGUGUUCUUUUGAG
rnacentral:lncRNA from 1 species